rnacentral:rRNA from 1 species
GCAGUCGACGCGAACGUUUUCUUCGGAAAACUAGUAGAGUGGCGCACGGGUGAGUAACGCGUAAGUAACCUACCCUCGCAUUCGGGAUAACCCACCGAAAGGUGUGCUAAUACCGGAUACGUCUGAUUUAAUAUCUUUUUAUCAGAGAAAGGUGGCCUCUUCAUGAAAGCUACUGUGCGGGGAGGGGCUUGCGUACCAUUAGCUUGUUGGUAGGGUAACGGCCUACCAAGGCAACGAUGGUUAGCGGGUCUGAGAGGAUGAUCCGCCACACUGGAACUGGAACACGGACCAGACUCCUACGGGAGGCAGCAGUGAGGAAUAUUGCGCAAUGGGGGCAACCCUGACGCAGCGACGCCGCGUGGAUGAUGAAGGCCUUCGGGUUGUAAAAUCCUGUCAGAUGGGAAGAAGUGCACCGUAGUUAAUACCUGCGGUGUUUGACGGUACCAUCAAAGGAAGCACCGGCUAACUCCGUGCCAGCAGCCGCGGUAAUACGGAGGGUGCAAGCGUUGUUCGGAAUUACUGGGCGUAAAGCGCGCGUAGGCGGCUGCAUAAGUCACCUGUGAAAGCCCACGGCUCAACCGUGGACGUGCAGGUGAAACUGUGCAGCUUGAGUACUGGAGGGG